rnacentral:rRNA from 20 species
AAAUUGAAGAGUUUGAUCAUGGCUCAGAUUGAACGCUGGCGGCAGGCCUAACACAUGCAAGUCGAACGGUAACAGGAAGCAGCUUGCUGCUUCGCUGACGAGUGGCGGACGGGUGAGUAAUGUCUGGGAAACUGCCUGAUGGAGGGGGAUAACUACUGGAAACGGUGGCUAAUACCGCAUAACGUCGCAAGACCAAAGAGGGGGACCUUCGGGCCUCUUGCCAUCAGAUGUGCCCAGAUGGGAUUAGCUUGUUGGUGAGGUAA